UACGAAGGGUGCAAGCGUUAAUCGGAAUUACUGGGCGUAAAGGGUGCGUAGGCGGUUGUUUAAGUCUGUCGUGAAAUCCCCGGGCUUAACCUGGGAACUGCAUUUGUGACUGCAUCGCUGGAGUGCGGCAGAGGGGGAUGGAAUUCCGCGUGUAGCAGUGAAAUGCGUAGAUAUGCGGAGGAACACCGAUGGCGAAGGCGGGUCUCUGGGCAGUAACUGACGCUGAGGAGCGAAAGCGUGGGGAGCGAACAGG
rnacentral:rRNA from 1 species